UACGUAGGUGGCAAGCGUUGUCCGGAAUUAUUGGGCGUAAAGCGCGCGCAGGCGGCCUCUUAAGUCUGAUGUGAAAGCCCCCCGGCUCAACCGGGGAGGGCCAUUGGAAACUGGGAGGCUUGAGUAUAGGAGAGAAGAGUGGAAUUCCACGUGUAGCGGUGAAAUGCGUAGAGAUGUGGAGGAACACCAGUGGCGAAGGCGACUCUUUUGGCCUAUAACUGACGCUGAGGCGCGAAAGCGUGGGGAGCAAACAGG
rnacentral:rRNA from 1 species